CCUGGGGAGUACGGCCGCAAGGUUAAAACUCAAAUGAAUUGACGGGGGCCCGCACAAGCGGUGGAGCAUGUGGUUUAAUUCGAUGCAACGCGAAGAACCUUACCUGGUCUUGACAUCCACGGAAGUUUUCAGAGAUGAGAAUGUGCCUUCGGGAACCGUGAGACAGGUGCUGCAUGGCUGUCGUCAGCUCGUGUUGUGAAAUGUUGGGUUAAGUCCCGCAACGAGCGCAACCCUUAUCCUUUGUUGCCAGCGGUCCGGCCGGGAACUCAAAGGAGACUGCCAGUGAUAAACUGGAGGAAGGUGGGGAUGACGUCAAGUCAUCAUGGCCCUUACGACCAGGGCUACACACGUGCUACAAUGGCGCAUACAAAGAGAAGCGACCUCGCGAGAGCAAGCGGACCUCAUAAAGUGCGUCGUAGUCCGGAUUGGAGUCUGCAACUCGACUCCAUGAAGUCGGAAUCGCUAGUAAUCGUGGAUCAGAAUGCCACGGUGAAUACGUUCCCGGGCCUUGUACACACCGCCCGUCACACCAUGGGAGUGGGUUGCAAAAGAAGUAGGUAGCUUAACCUUCGGGAGGGCGCUUACCACUUUGUGAUUCAUGACUGGGGUGAAGUCGUAACAAGGUAACCGUAGGGGAACCUGCGGUUGGAUCACCUCCUUACCUUAAAGAAGC
rnacentral:rRNA from 1 species